GGCUGAUUUCGCUCAGGCGGAGCUCGACCACCCCUUCAAGCGAUGAAGGAAUUUAUUGACCGGCACCGCGACGCUUAUAGAGUCGAGCCGAUCUGCAAGUGUGUUCUGCGCAAGCGGAAACCGAUUGCUUUU
rfam:Methylomicrobium album BG8 chromosome, whole genome shotgun sequence.